rnacentral:lncRNA from 1 species
CGGUACGGCCUCCAGGCCGGCUCUCAGGAGGGGCCGGGUCAGAGGGGCCUUGGCUCAAAUUGCCUUCUCUCUUCUCCCCAUCCAGAGGAGCGACUGUCCAGGGAGCAGGAGGUCGUGGAGGUGCCCGAGGGGGGCAUCGAAGACUGGCUGGAGAAGCGGGCCCAGCGGCGGAGCUCUGCCCAGAGCAGCAGUGUGCUGCCAGCCAAGCCGGCCGUCUUCCAGUACCCCCCUGGGUGGCCGCCCCUCCAGGACCUGCCGCCGUCCCUGCGGGCCCCGCCCCCGGGGGGAUGGCCCCCGCAGCCCGGCGCCCAGUGGGGCUGAGAGCGAGGCCGCCUCGUCCGCCGCGGGAGCUCCUCGGGGGUCUCACGGGGGUCGGGGAACCCCUCAUCUCCUAGAUCCCAAUAAAAGGCUCCAGCCUCAGCUUGUGCUGUUGUUCAUCGCGUCCACGCCAGGGGAGAAACGGCCUCCCGCCGUGGGUCCUGCUGGGGAGGGGGGGCUCUGGGUUCCGACCCCGGCCUCCAGGGGCGCCUGGCCCGGGGACCGCCAGAAGGUGCCACUGGGGCCUGGGCUCUGGGCACAGAGAUGCCCCUCCCGGCCUGGGGAGGAAGCCACGGGCCCCACGGAGCCGUCCCUGCCUCACCUGGGAGUCAGUGAAAGAGGGGGGGGGGGGGGGGGGGGAGGCCGGGGGCCCCGAGGGCAGGGAGGGAGGGCAGGCGCCCACAUGGGCUGGGAAGCCUAAGGGCAUCCUCUGGGGGUGGGGGGAGGGACAGGAGCGGGAAGUUCUGGGGGUAGAUGUGAGGGAACCCCAAAACUCUCAGCCACCCCCAGUGCAAGACUAGGGGUCUGUGGUGCCCUCAACUCAGGGAAAUUCUGAUUCUUUCCCAUCGCUCUUCACAACCCAGAGGAUGCUGGGACGGUUCAUGGACAUGGGGAGGGGCUGAUGGGAGCCCAGCUCGCCUCGGAGGCUCUCGUGCCCCCAGUGCCGGGAGAGAGGGUUCGUCCACAAGGCC